ACGCUUUUCGGAGUGUAAACACCUUUUAUGAGGGAAGAAAAUCUGACGGUACCUCAUGAAUAAGGACCGGCUAAUUACGUGCCAGCAGCCGCGGUAAUACGUAAGGUCCAAGCGUUAACCGGAAUUAUUGGGCGUAAAGCGUCCGCAGGCGGUUUAUCAAGUUGAUUAUGAAAUACCGACGCUCAACGUCGGUGCUGUAGUCAAAACUGGUAAACUAGAGAUAUGGAGAGGUGCGUGGAAUUGUGCAAGUAGGGGUAAAAUCCGUAGAUAUGCACAGGAACACCAAAAGCGAAGGCAGCGCACUGGCCAUUAUCUGACGCUCAGGGACGAAAGCGUGGGGAGCGAAAGGGAUUAGAUACCCCUGUAGUCA
rnacentral:rRNA from 1 species